UCGUAUCCACCCCAGCGCUUAGUACGCUGCUCGGCACAUAGUAAGCGCUUAACGAAUACCACGGUUAGUAUUAAUGCCAAGAUCAGAUAGCGUUUCCAGGAAAAGGGUAUGGUCCACUGUGUCAAAGGCAACCAAGAGGUCAAGGGGGAUUUAGGGUAGAGUCCGUCAGAUUUGGCAAGGAGGAGGCGACCUUGGAGAGGGUGGUCUCCGUGGAGCGAAGCGGGUGUAAACCGGAUUACUGAACGUCCAAGAAGAGAGUGGGAGGAGGGGAAGUGGAGGCAGAAGGUGAACACAAUCCAUUCAAGGAAUUGAAAUUCUGUAAAGUUGCAGAGGCUCAAGGAAUGCGGAAGAGUGCCCGAUCCAGUCCAGCGAGGGUGAAGCAGAGGCCGAUAAACAGAGCGGGGUCAUAUGCAUUUGACCAAAAUGUCACCCAUGCCAAUGGGUGGAGCAGAGUCCGACGGAGCCCGUACGUCAAAGACGACCACUUCCUAGUAAAGAGAUUUCUUGAAUAGUGAGAGCGCUGAGGUUUCUUCUGGAAGACGACGACUUGGCCUUUAAUUUUUAAACACACGGAAGACAACAUUUUUCAAUUCUACACUUCCCCCAUCCAAGGGACGAGGGAUGUGACCUAAGGAAAGUGAUUUUUCAAACGUUUUCUCAAUUUGGAAUGGCUUCUCAGCAAAUACGGUGCACUUUGACAUCUUACAUUAGAGGGCAAUAGUUUAUUCAGCUUGAAAAGAUAUUGUCUCACAAACAAAAGAAAUCACUACAUGGAAAUCAAACAAAAAAAUCACACUGGUUGCAACCCAACAGAUCAAAUCCACGGGCAUUGUGGCCCGCUUUCUGGAGUGAAUGUAAAUUUCCAAGUUUAUCAAUUCAUGCCCACGGCACUAAUUUUUAACAUUAGCUUCUCCAUUGUCUUUCAUUUUCGUUAUUGUUGCUCCAAAAUAGAAUCCUGGGAGAUGAAAUACUGUGACUUAUUUGUUGGCUUGUUCUGUCAGGUACAUCAGUGACCUGGGAUCUAUUUAUGUAAAUGAUCUGAUUUUCAUAAGCAGAAAAACCCCAAAACAAAUCCUGGUAGCAGAGAAACCAAGUCAGGAUGCAUCGAGGCAAACGAUAGGAUCAAGUGAGUUUUCCAAAAUAUAGCCUUUCAUCUUCGGUCUUGUUCUUAACGCUGAAAAAGAGGCAGUUCAAUAUAA